CAUGGUGUUAGAAAGGAUCAGUGACACCACUUACAUUGUAGCUGACUGUUCAGAUGAAAGGAUCCAACGAUCCUUUCAUGUGAAUAUGCUCAAACCAUACCUAGAGAGACCAGAGGGAGUCUCCGUAGUAUGCGCUCCCGCUUAUGAGGACAGUGAGGGUAUCCCGCUACCUGACCUACUGCAUCAAGAACCAGUAGGAGUAGAACAGGUACAGUUAGGCCCCGACUUGAG